AUGCGAGGGGUCACAGCACCUGGAGCUCUGAGAGAGGUGAUAAAUCUCGCUGAGGCUGCAUGGGGAAGAGGUAGUGUGUGCAGGGAAGUUAUGGGGAGCAAUUCUGGUGUGCUGUUUCAGCCUCAGGGAGAAAAGCCUCUGCAGAAGCUUAAGAAGGCCUUCAAGCAGCUGCUAAGUAGAGGAGUACAGCACCUUCAGCAGAGUGAAUCAGAACCUCGUGGGACCAGACCUUUAUCUUCUUGGUGGAUGCAACUAUCAAUUGAUAGCUACACAAACCUGCUGCCGAUGGCUGCCCAGCUCAGCUCCCCUGCUUCCAGCACAGGCCUGGCCCCCUGCCCCACGGUUCCACUGCUGAUUCUCUUGCUGUGCCUGUCUGAAGAGCCUCACCAUCAUGCCAGACACUUGGGCUCAGGAAGGGCUCCCCAGAGCCCCCACUCGGAUGCCUUCACCGUCCUUCUCUUCCCGUUCUGCCCGGCAGCCGUGGAUCUCCUUCCAUGCUCGGCGGGGGUACUGAGGGUUGCCCCCGGGCCCAUCUCAGCGGUGCCUGUGGCCAGGACGCCUCCGCCACGCACUGCGGCCUGCUCCUGGCGCGGCGCCUUCCCCCUGCGUCGGGUUGCUAAGGGACUGCUGGAGCUCCUCCGGAGUGUCAUCGUCUCAUGGCUCACUUCCUGCAACAUCCUCUUCUCCAGCCUUGACAAAUGCAAUCUUCUCCCACUUCUGCUUAUUUAG
rnacentral:lncRNA from 1 species